CUAGUUACCUUCUUUUUCUAACCCUUUCAUUCAUGCAUUUCACCUCCUAUCUUCACAACACCAAAAGCUCCCAACAACACCCCAUUUUCGGUCAAGAACACCCCUCCCCCAUCUUCAUUUUCAAGCCACUUUCAUGAUGAUCAAGAUGCAUUUUCAUGGAACUUAGGAGGAUCUAAGACAACCACAAGUAGAAGCAAGCAUUUCCAUCCAUCUAAGGGCUUUCAACCAUCAAAUCUUCAUAUUCUUUGCUUUUCAUUUUCACCUAGAUCAUCCCUAGCCAAGAGCUAGAAGUCGCAACGCUAUUCAGGACGACCGCACGUGAGAUCUUAUUUUCAUCUAUUCACAGGACGCGAUACUGGAAUUAAAGGACCAUGUCGGGAUUCUCAGUCAAGAUAAUAAGUACCAGAACUCCAUGCCAUCUUUUGGAGGGUUUAACUGUUAUAUUCCGCCUCUUUGCGGAAAUAUGAUGGUUUAAACCUUAGUAGUUUAUUUCAUG